rnacentral:lncRNA from 1 species
UCCCCUUUAUCCUGUGACUUGGGUUACAGUUGGCCAAAAGAGGAACUUGCAUAAAUAUGGAAGGUGGAAAUGGAGAUGAAGCCAUAAUUCUCUGAAGGUCUUGUAGUCAGAUGUGGUGACAGAUGGACGCAUAAGUUCCCAGCAAGUUCCAGCUUGUCUUUGAUCUCCUCCACUCUGCCAUAGUUCUUCCUUGUAAAUGCUUACCCCACUGUUACAGAUGUGGUUUCUUGCCUGAAGGAACACAACGUAUGCUCUAGCAGCUAUUGAUAUGGCACAAGCUUUUUUCUCAAUGCCCAUUAAUGAAGACCACCAGAAACAGUUGUCUGAUUCAUCAGAUCCAGCGGUUGUUGGAGGGUCUUGAUAGAGGUCCACUGCAGAAAAGCAUUUGGCAAGCCUUUGUAGGUGGAUUGCAACACAGACCUUUUGAAACUUUGAAGCAAAAUUAUAUGGUCCUCUCUCAAUUACUGUUCUUUUGAGAUACAGCUUUGGGCUUAUUACUGGGCCCUAGUAGUGACUAAACUCCUUUGACUGCGGGCCACCAAGUUACCAGGCAAUCUGAGCUGCCCAUCACAAAGGGAGUAAUGUCUGACUCCAAAAACUAUAAUAUGGGGUGUGCACAAUAUCACUUCAUCAUCAAGUGGGAGAGAUAUGUAAAAGCAGGUCCUGAAGAUACAAGAAAUUGCAUCAGCAAGUGGCAUAAAUUGCCAUGAAACCCACUUUUGGUACAUGGCCUCUCGUCUCUUAACAUCACCUAUGGCCUAUGAUGUUCUUUAUGAUCAGUUGAUUGAGGAAGGAAAAAAAAAUAGGUCAAGUUUAAUGACAUUUCUACCAAAAAUACUGGCAGAAUUUGAAACUGGAUGCCUGCAGUGCUAUAACUCAACUCAGGUGUGUCUAUGAAGAACAGUGUUGAAGAGGAAUCUUCCCAGUGGGCAAAAUUCCAAGUAUUACACCUGGCUGGUUUAUAUGCCUGGAAGGAGAGAUGAACAAAGCUAUUGCUCUACAUUAAUUCAUGAGCAAUCUCUAACAAUUUGGACUUGGAAGGAAGAUGAUUGGAGAAUUUGGAGGCACUGGGUUCUGGAGAAGAGGUAUGAGGAGAGACCUCUUUGAAAGAGCACAGAAUUUGAUAUUUGUGUCCCAGGUGAAUGCUAACCAAGGAGCAACUUCACUGGAGAAAGAUCUUAAUCAGAUGGACAAGACAACCUCUUUUGAGGAUGUCAGCCAGCCUCUUUCCCCAGUCACUCCUGUCCUUGACCAAGGUACUCAUAAAUAAAAUGACCAUGGCUGCAGGAAUAGAGGCUGUCCGUGUUGCUAGUUUAAAAUCCAGUCUGGGAGUUCCUGCCAUGGCUCAGUGGAAACAAAUCCAACUAGGAACCAUGAGGUUGCGGGUUCGAUCCCUGGCCUUGCUCAGUGGGUUAAAGAUCUGGCAUUGCUCUGCCAGCCUACAACACAGCCACAGCAAUGUGGGAUGUAAGCUGCAUCUGCGACCUAUAGCACAGUUCAGGGCAACGCUUAACCCACUGAGUGAAGCCAGGGAUCAAACCCAUGUCCUCAUGGAUACUAGUCAAGUUCAUUACCACUGAGCCACAAUGGGAACUCCUCACUGAUGUUUUUAUUUGGUAAUUAUAUGUAGUUAAAGGAAUGUGUGUACAUACCAAGUUGACAAUGAAUGGACUAUGCUGGAUUGUGAUGUGUCAACUUGGAUAAUGUGAGAACUUCAUUUCCUAGAAUUCUAUUUUUUGUAUGAGUUGGUCAAGAGAGGAACUUGUCCUGGGUUUGUAAGGCUGAAUUGAAUACUUGUUAAGGGUUGUUAUGGUCAGAUGUGGUGAUAGAUAACAGAGGUGCCUAUCAUGUCCAUCUUGUCCUUUCCCAUUAGCAUUUAUAUAUGUUUUUCCAAUCUUUAAAUAUCUCUCUAUUAACUUCACGUCCCCUUCCAUGCUACCAUCUCUUCUUUCCUGCUGUGUCCUCAAUCCUCUGCUACCGGCCUCUGUCACAUCCUUCUCCUUAAAACUGUUCUUCUCUCUAUACUCUUUCCCCUCCUGGAUUUCUAUUACUAUUACAUGCUGAUGAUGUUUGAGAAUAUAUCUAUCCAGAUGUCUCUUGAGUUUCAUACCUGCAUAUCCAGUGACCUACUCAACACUGCCACCUGGAUGACAGAUAGGCACCUACAACUCAGUGUGUCCAUAACUAAAUGCAUCGUAUUUCCCCUCAAAACCAUACCUCCUUCAUAUCUCACUUAAUAGUACCAUCAUCUAUGCAGUUUCCCAAGCCAGAAACCUGUUCACUCACCUUAUUUAGUUUUCUUUUAUCUUUUUUUUUUUUAAUGGCUACGCCUGCAGCAUGCAGAAGUUCCCAGGCCAGGAAUCCAACUUGUGCCACAGAAGUGACAACACUGGAUCCUUAACCUGCUGAGCCACCAGGGAAGUCCAGGUUUCUUUUAUCUUUUGCCUGGAUUAUUACAACAGUCAUUAUUCCUAAAGUUGUGACAAUCCAAUUAAAAAAUACAACUGUAAUGCACCAUACAAACACUGUGGUUUAUCUUCACUAUAGAUCCAUAUUAACCUUGAGAAUGUGGGGUAGUAAAUCUCCAUCUUGUGGAAGAAGUUGCACCUAAGGUGAACAAAAGGAAAACAUGCUUUACAAUACUGGACAUUGUCAGUGUGUUAUAACUGGUGACAGUGCUAUUCAUUUCACAAGUAUUAUUAAUUUCCUACCAUGAGCUGGGAACCAUGCCUGUAGGAGAUGCUUUCAAGGCAUUGAUUUCCUGUGUACUUUUUUGGUAUCCUGCACUAUGUGACAUGUAUGAAAAAGCCUUGGUCUUUAUGCUUAAGGGGCUGUCAACUCUCUUUAGUCACUACUCAUGUCAAAUGAUAUCUCAGAUGGCCCCAUCUAAUACUGAGUUCCUCCCACAGGCAGUGCUGCAAUAAAGUUCCUUCCACGACCCAUUAUUCUCAAAGAAAAAAUUAAUUUCAGAGGACUUAUGUAGACAUAUGUAGGCUGUUGUCUAGAUGCAAGGAUUCUGUAAAAGCACCAAUUUAAAAAGCUCUAUAAAGAAGAUGGGGUACAUAUAUACAAUGGAAUAUUACUCACCCAUAAAAAAGAAGAAAAUAAUGCCUUUUCAGCAACAUGGAAGGACCUAGAGAUUUUCAUACUGAGUGGAGUAAGUCAGAGAAAGACAAAUAUCAUAUGAUAUAUGUGGAAUCUAAUAAAAUGAUACAAAAGAAUUUAUUUAUAAAACAUAAAGUCACAGAUUUUAAAACCAAUCUUAGGAUUAUCAUGGGUAAAACCAUUGGGGUAGGGUGGAAUUGGGAGGGUGGAAAUAACAAAUACACAGUAUUAUAUAAAACAGGUGAUUAACAGAAACCUACUGUGUAGUACAGGAAAAUCUACUCAAUAGUUUGUAAUAAUGUAUAUGGGAAAAAGAAUGGACAUGUAUACACACCCACAUAUCCAUUUGUAUUAUAAAGAUUCAUUUUGCUAUACAACUGAAACUAAUACAACAUUGUAAGGCAACUCUAUGCCAAAAAAAUUAAAUCAAAAGCCGUGUAUGAGGAUUCUUUUUUGGUGACACUUAGGGAUUACCUCCUUUGGACCUGAGUUAAACUGCAAAUAAUCAGUUUAACUCCAUAAUGAAUUCAGCUUUGUGCUCAGCCCAUUCCCAGAACCUCUGGAUGAAUUGUGAGAAGAAAACCUAUUUAUUCUGGGACAUCACCACUUUGGGAUAAAUUCCUGGAAGCCAUCAGAAAAGCAAAGGGAAGAUCUUUCUCAGAGUCUCUUCUCUGGAUUUCUGAGAAAGAAGUGUUUCAUGUUUGGCAUGUCAAGUUGCUUUUACUUUGAGUCCAUGGAUUGCCCCUUAUUCAAUUCUCUUUGAACCUAAUUCUCGCUGUCCAUCCAGAGGCCUAGGUCUCCUAUGGGAAGGUAAUUCAGCCUUUCUUGUGUCUUCCUCAGACAGCAGAUCUUUCUCUGAGCACAGUCUUCAUAUUAUCAGUUACAAAAUAAUUUAAAAAUGACACGUAUGUGUACUUUACAUUUCACAAAACUCUUUUCAUGUUUUUUAGUUCAUUUAAUCCUAAAUGCAGUGCAGAGAGGCAGAGCCAUGCGGAACCUGAGGCUCAGAGAAAAGUAACCUGUCUAAAAUCACAUAGCUGUUGGAUGACAGACCUCACAAAGAACCCAGACAUUCUAACUCACAUCUUUCAGCUCUUUCUCCCCAUAUUCAUCUAGUGGCCACAGCAAUUUCUAGUCCUGACCCAUUUUGAACAUAUUCUGAAAUCUGAAUAAAACUAUGUUCAUAUUAGGAGCCAAGGAACACUGAUGACUCUCCUGGGGACUAGUUUGAUUGUAGGAACACAGAAAGCCCCCCUAAGCGACAAUCCCCAGGACUUACCAAGAGCAAGGAAAUGUAGGCCUUCUCCUGAGGCAGUAGUUCUCAACUCUGGCUACAUAUUGAAAACACCUGGGGAGAUUUAAACACCAUAGAAGCCUGGGUUCUAGAUUUAAUUUAUAUUGAAUUGGUCUUAGGGGCAGCUAGGCCAUUAGAUAGUUGAAAUACUCCCCAGAUGAUACUAAUAUGCAGCCAAGAUUGAGAAACAUCGCCUGAGGGCUACCACAUGUUUGCCUAUUCCUUGAAGGACCUGUGUUCUUCUCUCUUUCUCUCUGCAAAUGCUUAUUACACCAAUCAUAUAUGAUUGGUGAAUAAAAUCUAGAAAAUACAAGAAGCAGGAUUAAGAUGGCAGAGUAGGAGUGCCCUGCAUUCACCUCCCUACAACGAACCCAUCAAACCUACAACUACAUGUACUCUGAGGACGAUGUGAAGACUAGCAGAAGGACUCUUCUGCACCCAAGGCUGUAAAGAAAGAACUGCACAGAGUCUGGUAGAAAGGGAGGAGAGGCAAUCUAGUUAGGACCUGCACCCCUAGUGGGAUACCUAGAAGAGGAGGGGCAUAUCACAGGCUUGGGGAUCCUCCAUAAGGAAUGGGGUUUGAGCCCCAUAUUAGGCAUUCCAGCCCUGGGGUUUGAUCCUGGGAAGAUGAGCCCUUUAGCUGGUUUGAAAACCCAUGGGAUUUAGGGGAGGGCUGUAAAAAACCAAAACUGCGCCUGAAGAGCACAUGCACUGACUUGCUCUCAGAUCCAGAUUGGAAGCAGCAGGUUGAAAAUUGCCCGGUGCUCUGGGGCUCUGCCAGGAUCACCCAAGCCUGCCCCCCACCCCCCCAUGGCUGACUCCUGCUCCAGCACCUCCUGCUCUACUGCUGCUCCCUGCUAAGGCUGAGGCCACCUUUGCCAAUGAAUGUGCUUGUGCUUGGAGGGAGCUGAACCCUUGGUGUGGCCCUGCCUCUAGUCAGGCUGGGACCACCACUGCUGGCAUGUGCUCACACCGGGGAAGGAGCAGAAUCAGUUCAACAGCAUAGCCCCAGCCACUUUAACCUUGCUCUCACCAAGGCACACACAUUGGAGAAAAAGUGAAACCAGCUCAGAAGAGCAGCCCCAAGCCCUUGGGCCCUGGUAGUGUUCCCAAACAAGGUGGAGACUGCCAUCACACUGGGGAGAAGCCUGAUUCCCUCAGCGCUCCUGCUCCAACCCCUCAGGCACUGGUUCCAUCUCAGUUGGAGGGUGGUGACUGCCAUUGAGCCUAGGAGAAACUCCAGUUUGCACAUGGCUCUGGAUCUAGUCUCAUUGACUCUAGCUCUACCUACCACCAAGGUGGUGGCUGGCAGUACACCGUGGGGAAGACAUGACCCAUGCUUGCUUCAGAUCCAGCUCUCCCACUAAUGUCACUGGAUACAUGCAGACUGCAUGUGGACACUCUCAUGCAAGCACAUGCCUCCCAGACCAGGAUAGGUAACUGUUUCACCUAAUUUCAUAGAGACAAACAGAGAAAGGUAAACAAAAUAAGAAAACUGAGGAUUAUGUUUCAAACAAAAGACCAAGAUAAAACUCUUGGAAAAAAAUCCUAAUGAAACAGAGACAAAUAAUUUACCUGAUAAAGGGUUCAAAGCAAUAGUAGUGAGAAUGCUAAUGGUACUUGGGAAAAGAAUAGAUGAACACAUGAGAGCUUCAAUAAAGCACUAGAAAAUAUAAAAAAGAACCAGUCAAAGGCUGAAGAAUAUAUAACUGAAAUGAAAAAUAUGCUAGGAGGAAUUAACAACAGAUCAGGUAAUAACAGAAGAAUGUACAAGGGGUCUGGAGACAGAAUAGUGAAAAUCAUCCAGUUGGAACAGCAAAAAGAAAAACACUUUUUUUUUUUUAAAUUUUUUUGCCUUUUUGUCUUUUGUUGUUGUUGUUGUUGUUGUUGUUGCUGUUUCUCGGGCCGCGCCCGCGGCAUAUGGAGGUUCCCAGGCUAGGGGUUGAAUCGGAGCUGUAGCCACCGGCCUACGCCAGAGCCACAGCAACGCAGGAUCUGAGCCACGUCUGCAACCUACACCACAGCUCACGGCAACGCCGGAUCGUCAACCCACUGAGCAAGGGCAGGGACCGAACCCGCAACCUCAUGGUUCCUAGUCGGAUUCGUUAACCACUGUGCCACGACGGGAACUCCAGAAAAACACUUUUAAAAAAAUGAAAAAA